CCUACGGGUGGCAGCAGUGGGGAAUAUUGCACAAUGGAGGGAAGCCUGAUGCAGCGACGCCGCGUGAGUGAAGAAGUCUUUCGGUAUGUAAAGCUCUAUCAGCAGGGAAGAAAAUGACGGUACCUGUUUUAGAAGCCCCGGCUAACUACGUGCCAGCAGCCGCGGUAAUACGUAGGGUGCAAGCGUUAUCCGGAUUUACUGGGUGUAAAGGGAGCGUAGACGGCAGCACAAGUCUGGAGUGAAAUGUCGGGGCUUAACCCCGGAACUGCUUUGGAAACUGUGCAGCUAGAGUGCAGGAGAGGUAGGUGGAAUUCAUGGUGUAGCGGUGAAAUGCGUAGAUAGUAGGCGGAACACCAGUGGCGAAGGCGGCUUACUGGACUGUAACUGACGUUGAGGCACGAAAGCGUGGGGAGCAAACAGGAUUAGAUACCCCGGUAGUC
rnacentral:rRNA from 1 species